AGAGCGAACGCUGGCGGCAGGCUUAACACAUGCAAGUCGAGCGGGCGUAGCAAUACGUCAGCGGCAGACGGGUGAGUAACGCGUGGGAACAUACCUUUUGGUUCGGAACAACACAGGGAAACUUGUGCUAAUACCGGAUAAGCCCUUACGGGGAAAGAUUUAUCGCCGAAAGAUUGGCCCGCGUCUGAUUAGCUAGUUGGUGAGGUAACGGCUCACCAAGGCGACGAUCAGUAGCUGGUCUGAGAGGAUGAUCAGCCACAUUGGGACUGAGACACGGCCCAAAACUCCUACGGGAGGCAGCAGUGGGAAUAUUGGACAAUGGGCGCAAGCCUGAUCCAGCCAUGCCGCGUGAGUGAUGAAGGCCCUAGGGUUGUAAAGCUCUUUUGUGCGGGAAGAUAAUGACGGUACCGCAAGAAUAAGCCCGGCUAACUUCGCGCCAGCAGCCGC
rnacentral:rRNA from 1 species